CAGAGACCCCAGGAUUGUACUGCUGUGCAAUAUUACUAAAGCAAACAAGCAGCCUUCAACAGGGUGGUAACCUUGGUUAUUGUAGUCUGUGGUGUUGCACAACCUAUAUCAAUCUGGCUUUCAGUAGAUUCUUAUUCAUUUAAUUAAACCUGUUGUUGAGAAUCACUGAAUAAGAACAGCAGAAAAAAGCCUUCUUAUCGGAAAGAAUGGAUGGAUGUUGGAAGGCUGCUGUAAAUGGAGCUGGUGGGCCAGUAGGUGGCAGUCAUUUACCUGAAGUUCAUUUGAAUGAAGGGGAAGCAGUUUCUCACUCCUCCCCCUGAUCAGCUGGUGCAGAAUGGCCACCCAGGUGGGGCUGCACUUCAUUCAAUAAAACACGGGGGGGGUGGAAAGUGAUGCCAUGUUAACUGUCAUGAUGCCAUGUUAAUUGUCAACCUCACUCAUGAACAGGAGGACGGUCCGUUAGUGUUCAGAGUCAGAAGUGAGGUGUUUGGGCUUCAAGGUGUGUUUCUUCUUCAACUGCUCGAAACUGCUAUUUGGUGACUGUAGCGCAGCCCUGGUUUUCAGGAACCGUACAGGGGGAUGCAGGGUGGGAUUAGUCUCCCAGCUUUCAUCUUCCCACGCAGCCAUGAACCUGCAGUCUGGGAGAGGAGACACUGAGAGUCUUGAGCACAGUUCUUUCGCUUUCUUGUGUGUAAUCCUCACAGGAGUGUCUGGGAGGGAUGUUUUCUGUGAGGGUUUCAGGGUAAAAGUAUAUAAAGCAGAAAAAAUCAAGUACAGCUCCAAAUGUGCAGUCUAGAUUGGCCUUUUUGCUGAGGAAAGUGGGGAUCCCUGCCCCUUGUGCUCUCAGUGGAGAAUAGUUCACUGUGUGGAAAGGUCACCUUCAGUCUGGUCCACAGAUCUGGCUUGUUCUUAAAAGAACUGUGUAUCAUGGAAGGUUACAGUGUGUGAAUCCCUUAAUUGCCCUUAGAAAGUGCAGUCAGGGCUGCUCAUUAAAAAGGCGCAUGUGGCCUGGGGGGAGGAGAUGUGCCAGUGUCACCAUCUCUCACCCCUGAUCGGUCUCAUUGCUGCUGCGCAGGUUCAUUUCUUCUCCUCAUCUCUAUUUUAAGCCUUAAGAAACUGUCAUAAAAAAGCAAACGUCUUCCUUCACAGGGAAUCUAAUGAGCUGUUCAGUUAUACACAAGCAACAGAAAAAAGGCAGGAAAUUCAGUUUCAAAGGAGACGGCGAUUCAAAGUGAAGGGACUGAAAUCUUAACCUUUUGCUUUCUCUCUGCACAGGUGUUGCUCACUGUUUGUCCUACCAGCGCCACGUGUGUUUGCCAUAGAGGCAGGACAGCGGGGAGGUGGAGGAGUCAGUGCUCAGAGGGGCUCAAGCCACAGAGACACUGCUAGUGCUUGCAUUGCUACAGCAAAGCUGAUACCACAAUGCUCAUGUAUGGUAUAAGUCAAGUAAAGAUGAGUUGUAUCCAAUAUCUGAGGAAAUAUACGUGCUCCCGCUGAAAAGGGCCUCUGGCUUGCUUGGUUGAUUGCAGCUAAUUGAUCUAAGAAUCUCAUCCAGCCAUUUCUUGAAAAAAAACAAAAUAUCAGCUUCCCAACAUGGCUGGAUAGCUUGUUGCAAAACCCCACAAACCAGGAGUGUGUAACCAAAUUCUGCUAGAAACAGUGUUGUGGUCUGGUGACUGGCACUGUCCUUUAAUGGAGUCUGGGGGUGCUGUUUUGGUGCUGCUCCUCAGAUGAGAUGUUUCAUUGAGGUGCUGAUCACGUGUGAUUGUUUCAAAAAGGCUCUUGUCACUAUUUGUAAAGGAAUUUCUCACUUCUGGAUUGUAUCUGCUGUGCAAUGAAGAUCGGGAUAGAACAGCUGUUGUGUGUCACCAUCCACUGCAGCGUGAAGUGGGUUCCCUCCUACUUGUUCAAGAGCUUUGGGUCUUUCUGGUUGAAAAGUGCUGUGCAAAAUGCCGAUUAGUGUUGUAAAAACCUGUUGUACUUGACAGGGCUCAGUAGAGAUGGUAAAAAUAGAGCUGAAGUGCUUUUGAGUCCUUGUAGUCUUGUACUUUAAAUUCAGUUCUUUGCUUUUAGAAAUUAAUCCUGCCAGAUUUUUGCCAGGGAAAGUUUCCUUUUAGUGAAAAGUGUGAAUGCAGUCAACUUCUAAAAUCUCUGACCUGUUGUUAUCAGGGUUUAAUUAAAGCAGGCGAGAAACUCUUAGCACAACAGCAUGAUAAACAGCGCUGGAUGUUUUCACACCUGCAGGUUUUUAAUUCUUAGUUUUUUUAAGUUCCUGAUACGCUCUCCAGAUGGCUUUUGUUAAUGUGUUUUUUCAUAGAUAAUUUAAGUUGCCUAAAAGGAAAAUCGGCUGCUUGAGAUUUGUGGAAAUUGCCCUGUGAAUACGUGCCAGACAGUUUCUCCAGAACAGGUAGCUCACUUUUGCUUUGUCUGUCUGAGAGGAGGGGAAGUCAAUCCAAAAGGAUUCAGGAAUCGUUUGCGCUAAUGCCAAGUAAUGCUAAUAAGACUUCCACAAUUGUUUUCAUUUGCAUAUAAAUUAAGUUCAUUUAAACCUGUUUUAAUAUUUUUCCCUCUUUCGCAGCAGGCUUUAGGAUUCUGUUUUUUUGCCUCCUAUAAAAGUCCUUUUGCAUCGUUCCCAGAAUAAAGAUCUAGUCAAACCAUUCACUCACUAAGUACACUAUUUUUAUUUAAGUGGGCAAAUUACAUGUAUAUUACUCCGAAGAUAAGGCCCAGCACAUUCAGCUUCCUCCUUUUCAUUAUGAUGAUUAUGAGAGUUCAAUUAGGUUUAAUGUGUUCCUUUUAAACUAUUUAAUACAUUCCCGAGGAUGUAUUUUUCAUCCAUAUGGAAAUGAGAUGUUUCUUUGUAUCGGGGUGUGAGUGUUUUUGGAAUGUAUACAUUAUGUUAGCAUAUUCUCCCUCUGUUUGUUUCUCCACAUCUCCUGGAGCGCUGAUGCCCAGCAGCCAGAAAAGAGUCUGGUUUUCAUCAUAGACAAAGUCGUCACAAGACGAGAAAUGAGGUUACUAACGAGAGGAGACCAUUCGUCUGCCCUCCGUCACUUUCAGGGUUAGAGAAUAUCUCAAGAUGGGAGCAUGGUGAACAAGACGUAACUCUCACUUCUCAGUUUUACCCGGAGCUGGGGAGUGCCUGUCAGUCCUCUUCCCCCUCCUCAGGAUGCACGAUGCAGUGCCGCGAUAUUUCAUUAAUCAGCUAGUGAUGCGUUGACUCUGGAUGUGUGGUGCUUUGACAUCUCAGUGCCUUGAGCUCAGACAUGCUGCUGGGGCAUCCAGAAGCCUUUGCUGCGAGUGUUUGUCCAGCGGUGGAGGAGACCGUAUCGAGAAGAAAGGGCUGGACUUGUGGGAGCUUCCCAUGUGGAUAUACAGCACUGGGAAAAGAUGGAACAAGAGUGGGAGGCUCCUAGGCCUGGUUGACUCUCUCUGGGACCGGGUGUGAGGCAUUUCCCAUUCGGUCGUGGUCCCAGUUGGGAUGUUCUUGAAAUCCGUCUGCGCUGCUUUUGUCAUAUAACUGGAUAUGGAGUGUCUGCAGCCCAGCAAACUUGCAAUAAAUAAAUGAAUAAGGAAAUAACUGGCUCUCAGACCCCGCAGAGAGAGAGCUCAGUGUGGGAACUUGCCAGCUGAGAGCAGCUUUUCUCUGUUCCGUUUUCCUGCUGACUGCAGACAUGCAGCUCCUCUUGCUGUGCUCUGGCAUCGCGACAGGCAGAAGGCAGCCAUUGCUGAUGUGUGUGGAUUCUGCCAGGAAGCCUUCUGUUCACCUUUUGCAGCAGGUGUGAAGCAGCUCAGUGCUGUGCGUGAUGCAGGCUGUCCAGGACCUGUGCUGCUGAAUCUCCUCACAGUCUCUCGCAGGGUGAAAUAAUACAGAUCUGCUUUCAGCUCUUGUGUCAUGGCUAACCAAGAAACUCUGUUAGCAUUAUAAAACACGAACAGUGAUGGAAAUCUUAGUUAAUGUUACUGAAGGUGCUUGGAUAGAAUACCUGUUGGAUAGCUUUUUCCUUGUGCACAUCAUUAUCUUUGUAAAGGUGACUCUCUGUACUUUUGUCUCAUGUUCAUCUUUUCAUUUGAAAUCCACAUGCUUGAGUCCACAGCGAACACGGUGGUUUUGACUUCGCUGUCCCAAUAUUUAUGGAGGGCACUGUUUACAUUUCUGUUUUUAAAAUCAUAGUUAAUGAACUUAUGGACUUAAACUUAGACGUGAUAACUCUAAGAUAAAAUGUGAUUUUGACAGUUACAUAUUCCUUUAUAAGCAGCCUGAGAUUCAUGAAGCAUGAUGAAAAAGAGUACUUUUUAAAAUAAACUAUGCGAUUUGAAAUUGCGAUUUGCUGCCAAGUGUGUAAAAGGCUGAGUGGAGCCUCAUGACCUUCAUUCAGAUCCAGGCCAGUGGAGGGUGCCCGCUCCCAGCCGAGUGCGAGCAGUUCGAAGCAGGCGGCAGUCCUCAGGGAUGAAAUCAAAGUCUCGUAAAUCAGCCUUUCUUUGCAGCAGCAGGUACUCUCUCUGCCAGGGGCCCUGGACAUCAUUCUUGGCUCAGACCCCCCUUCGGUCUCCUAAUUUAAACUCCAGGCGAAAAUCGGUGGAGGUGAUCAAUGGAGCUCCUGAAGAGACCUUCUUUCUUGCCCGUUUGGAAAUGAACAGAGUUGCAGGAGCUGAUCAAUUCACCUCUUGAUGGCUCUCAGACGGCAGCGUGACAAGACGAGGCCCGUUUAUCCUCACAGAAAUCCAUCUCCGCUUUCCUUCACAUUAACAAUGACAGCAGCAUCGUUAGGGCCCUUAUUUAUCACAUCGCUAAUAAACAAGGUGAAUGUUUUUUCCACUCUAGUCUCUGGAUGGCCUGAGCGUGUUCCUCUGGGCUGAGGGGGAAUGUUGUGCCUUUCAGGUUUCCAGACUGAGGCUGUCUUUACUUAUCAAUUUCUAGCCUGUGUCUGAUUAGGGAGGCAGAGCAGCUGCACAGGAGCGCAGUUACAGUACGUACAGUAGUAGCUGAAGAAGGUUUCCAGCGCAGAUUCCGCAAACCUUUGACUUUGAACAAAAGGAAACUAAAUUGUUGAC